UACGUAGGGAGCGAGCGUUGUCCGGAAUCAUUGGGCGUAAAGCGCGCGUAGGCGGCCCGAUAAGUCCGCUGUAAAAGUCAACGGCUCAACUGUUGAAAGCCGGUGGAUACUGUCGGGCUAGAGUACGGAAGAGGGGGGUGGAAUUCCUGGUGUAGCAGUGAAAUGCGUAGAUAUCAGGAGGAACAUCGAUGGCGAAGGCAGCCCCCUGGGCCGAUACUGACACUCAGGUGCGACAGCGUGGGGAGCAAACAGG
rnacentral:rRNA from 1 species